CUACGGGAGGCAGCAGUGGGGAAUUUUGCGCAAUGGGCGAAAGCCUGACGCAGCAACGCCGCGUGGGUGAUGAAGGUCUUCGGAUUGUAAAACCCUGUCGUCGAGGACGAAGGUGGUCCGGUUAAUAACCGGGUUACUUGACGGUACUCGGAGAGGAAGCCCCGGCUAACUCUGUGCCAGCAGCCGCGGUAAUACAGAGGGGGCAAGCGUUAUUCGGAAUUAUUGGGCGUAAAGGGCGCGUAGGCGGUUUUUUAAGUCGGAUGUGCAAUCCCCGAGCUCAACUUGGGAACUGCAUCCGAGACUGGGAGACUAGAGUACUGGAGAGGUUGGUGGAAUUCCACGUGUAGCGGUGAAAUGCGUAGAGAUGUGGAGGAACACCAGUGGCGAAGGCGGCCAACUGGACAGUAACUGACGCUGAGGCGCGAAAGUGUGGGGAGCAAACAGGAUUAGAUACCCCGGUAGU
rnacentral:rRNA from 1 species